GAUGAACGCUAGCUACAUGCCUAACACAUGCAGGUCGAGGGGAAACGGCAUUAAUUGUUGGCACUUGUUGGACGACGACCGGCGCACUGGUGAGUAACUCGGAUUCAACCUUCCCAUGACGAAGUGAUAACCUGCCGAAAGGCAGACUAAUACCUUAUGCUCUUCACUGACGGCAUCAGAUGUGAAGUAAAGAUUUAUCGGUAAUGGAUGGGGAUGCGCCUGAUUAGCUGGUUGGCGGGGUAACGGCCCACCAAGGCAACGAUCAGUAGGCGUGCUGAGAGGAAGGUCCCCCGCAUUGGAGCUGGGACACGGUCCAAGCUCCUACGAGACGCAGCAGUGACGAAUAUUAGUCAGUGGGCGAGAGCCUGAGCCAGCCAAGUAGAGUGCAAGAUGACGACCCUGUGGGUUGUAAACUGCUUUUGUAUGGGGAUAACGUCAAUCACGUGUGAUUGUUUGACGGUACCAUAAGAAUAAGGACCGGCUAAUUCCGUG
rnacentral:rRNA from 1 species